GCUUGAAAUGAAAUGAGCAUUACCUUUCAAAGUGCAGCAAAACUGGGACAGAAACGAGCAGAGAUGGACAGCAAUGACCUCCACCAUGCAAAUGACGACACAGACAACAGCCGAAAAAGGUUUCAAACCCAACGCAUUAACAAUAAGAGAACUCCCUUGCUUUUUCUUGAGGUGUAUUUAGUGUGUACCGAAGUAUUUUUUGCUCAAACUUUUU
rnacentral:misc_RNA from 1 species